rnacentral:lncRNA from 1 species
CUUUAUUAAUAGCUUGAGAGCUUUGGGAAAGAAGUUCAAAGUUACAAAGCUAUCAAGGUGAGUAGUAAACUAGUAUUGGGUUUUAAGUGUUGAGAAUGACUAGAGAUUUUAUUUGUGAAUAUUUUGUAGUUGAGAUUGUUAAUUCACUUUGGAGUGAUAGGAAAGUGAAAAUGGAUGGCCAUUUAAAUGGCAAUUGAAAGCUAGCUAAAAGAUAGCUUUUAGGGUUUAUAGUAUGUAAAUUGACAUUAUGGAAAUGUUAAUUUGAUGGUAGGUGCUAACGAAGCCCCAUCACCCCAAUUGGAUCAUUA